GCAAACAUGUCCUGAAUUUCUCCUGCGGGCCAGGCCUGCACAGAAUACUUCAAACCUCACAGUGUCCUGGCAGAGAUUCUAGAUGCUGCCAGAAAAGCAUGCAACCCCCACCAGGACAAUGAUGGGAACAUGACCGCUGUGAUUAAUAGCUCCGGUUUGGAGGUCCAGGCUUCUGGGUAAUGGGGACCAGGCCCCUGCACAGGUGAUAGAGGAAUGUAGCAGCCUCCAGAGAAGGGACACACUGGACCAGGUACGUUCAAAGGAGACAGUCAAGAUGGCCCUUCCCCAACCGUGUGUCUGAGCCUCUCCUGAACCUUCAGACUUCACUGUGAGUCCAGGGGCACUUGGUGAGAAGGAAGGGAGUAAGAAUCUGGGACCAAAGAACAUUCUAGAACAUCAGUGUAAGUGCUUUCUCUUGCCACGAGGCUGCCUCACAGAGGAAGAACCGAGGUGGGGGCUUGGUGAAGGCACACCAGGAAGAGCAGGCUGCGCCUCACCCUCCAGUGGAGACAGAGGGCAGACAUUCUCUUUGGAGCACACCUCAGGCUAAAUGGCAAAACCCCAAUCUCAAGUGAACAUCAUGGAACUAGGGGAUUGUCUCACUUCUCCAGUGGAUUGAGGCAGUGCUCCCUCUGUUCUCUAUGAAAUGACGGUGUGGACAGGGGAUGUGGUUGGCGGGGGCACUGACUCCAACAUCUUCAUGACCCUCUACGGCAUCAACGGGAGCACAGAGGAGAUGCAGCUGGACAAAAAGAAAGCCAGAUGUACAAGGCUUAAUUGCUGGUGGAAGAGGCAUCUCGUUUCUGGAAGUAUCUAAAUUCCAAAAAUGUUGCUUGAAAAUCACAUCAUUAUAAAUACAACCAUAUUGUAAAUGCUUUGAGCCACCUUGCUAGUUAAAAGAUUUUUUUUUUCUGAAUAAAGAUUUAUUUUGUGAGGGGAGCCAUCAUUUCUUGAUUACCC
rnacentral:lncRNA from 1 species